rnacentral:rRNA from 1 species
CAGCAUGCAACUGACACUGAGGCACGAAAGCGUGGGUAUCAAACAGGAUUAGAUACCCUGGUAGUCCACGCAGUAAACGAUGAAUACUAGCUGUUGGCGAUAUAUGGUCAGCGGUACAGCGAAAGUGUUAAGUAUUCCACCUGGGGAGUACGCCGGCAACGGUGAAACUCAAAGGAAUUGACGGGGGCCCGCACAAGCGGAGGAACAUGUGGUUUAAUUCGAUGAUACGCGAGGAACCUUACCCGGGCUUGAAAGUUAGUGACGGCGGAUGAAAGUCUGCUUCCCUUCGGGGCACGAAACUAGGUGCUGCAUGGUUGUCGUCAGCUCGUGCCGUGAGGUGUCGGCUUAAGUGCCAUAACGAGCGCAACCCUUGCCGUUAGUUGCCAGCGGGUAAUGCCGGGAACUCUAGCGGGACUGCUACUGUAAGGUAGAGGAAGGUGGGGAUGACGUCAAAUCAGCACGGCCCUUACGUCCGGGGCGACACACGUGUUACAAUGGUGAGUACAGAGGGUUGCUACUUGGUGACAAGAUGCUAAUCUCCUAAAACUCAUCUCAGUCCAGCGAGUCUGCAACUCGACUCCGUGAAGCUGGAUUCGCUAG